rnacentral:rRNA from 1 species
AUUGAACGCUGGCGGCAGGCCUAACACAUGCAAGUCGAACGGUAACAGGAAGCAGCUUGCUGCUUCGCUGACGAGUGGCGGACGGGUGAGUAAUGUCUGGGAAGCUGCCUGAUGGAGGGGGAUAACUACUGGAAACGGUAGCUAAUACCGCAUAAUGUCUCAAGACCAAAGAGGGGGACCUUCGGGCCUCUUGCCAUCGGAUGUGCCCAGAUGGGAUUAGCUUGUUGGUGGGGUAACGGCUCACCAAGGCGGCGAUCCCUAGCUGGUCUGAGAGGAUGACCAGCCACACUGGAACUGAGCCACGGUCCAGACUCCUACGGGAGGCAGCAGUGGGGAAUAUUGCACAAUGGGCGCAAGCCUGAUGCAGCCAUGCCGCGUGUAUGAAGAAGGCCUUCGGGUUGCAAAGUACUUUCAGCGGGGAGGAAGGGAGUAAAGUUAAUACCUGUGCUUAUUGACGUUACCCGCAGAAGAAGCACCGGCUAACUCCGUG